AAUUUUAUAAUUAAUUAUUAAUUAAAAUAAUAUUAUAAUUUGAUUUUUGUUUUAGUAAAAUUAAUUUAAGAAAAAAUAUUUUUAUUUAUAGAAAAUUAGUAAAGUUAUUGAAUUUUUAAAAUUUUUAAAUAAGUUUAAAAUUAUAAAAAGUAAAUUUAAUUUAUUGUAUCUUGGGUCUCAGAGUUUAAUAAAUAAAAAUAAAAAUUUUAUAUUUCUCGAAAAAAAUUAAGAGUUAAAAAUUAAAUAUUUAUUAAUGUUUCAAAAUUAUAAAUUAUUAAUUUUUUGAAAUGAAAAGUUAUUCGUUUUUUUUUAUAUCUAGUUUUAAAAGAAAUAAAUUAAAUUUAAUUUAUUAUUUAUAUUUAAAUUAUUAGUUAUAUUAAAAAAUAUUUAAUAAGUAUUAUAUAAUAAUAUUUAUAUAUAUAAAGGGUUAAGCUUUUAUAUAAAUUUUUAUAUUAAUUGAAUUUAUUUAAUAAAAUUAUAAAAUUAAAAUUUUUUUUUAUUUAAUAUAUUAAUUUAUUAUUUAUUAAUAAAAAAUAAUAUUUAUAUUUUAAAUUAAUAAUUUAUUUUAUUGAUUUUAAAAAUUAUAUUUAAUAAGAAAUUAUGUUAUAAUUAGUAUAGUAAUAAUAUUUAAAAUUUUAUUUCAAAAUUUAAUUUAAAAUUAAUUAAUUAGGCAAAAUUAUAAUUAUUAUUAAAAAUUAAAUUAUUUCACAUGUUUAACAAAAACAUGUCUUUUAGUUUAUAAAUUUAAAGUCUAAUCUGCCCACUGAAAAAUUUUUUAAAGGGCUGCAGAAUUUUAACUGUACGAAGGUAGCAUAAUAAAUUGUUUUUUAAUUGAAAACUAGAAUGAAUGAUUUCAUGAAAAUAAAGCUGUGUAAAUUUUAUAUUUAAAAUUUAUUUUUUUUGUAAAAAAACAAAAAUAUUUUAAAAAGACGAGAAGACCCUUUAGAUUUUUAUUUUUUUUAAAUUUUUAAUUAAUUAGAAUUGUAAUUUUAAUGUAUAAUUAUUAUAAAAGUUAAUUAAAAUUUAAUUGGGGUGAUUUAUAAAUUUUUAAACUUUAAUUUAUUAACAUUAAUAAUUUAAUUAAAAAAUAAAAUUUAAUAUUUAAUAAAUUAAUAAAUAGAUAUGAUUUAGUUUUAUGGAUUAAAAGAUUAAAUUACCUAAGGGAUAACAGCGUUAUUUAAAUUUUUAGUUCUGAUGGAAAUUUAAGAUUGCGACCUCGAUGUUGGAUUAAGAUUAAUUAAAAAUGCAGAAGUUUUAAAAUUUAGUCUGUUCGACUAUUAAAAUCUUACAUGAUCUGAGUUCAAACCGGUGUGAGCCAGGUUGGUUUCUAUCUUUUAUUGAAAAUUAAAUUUUUUAGUACGAAAGGAUUGAAAAUUUAAAAUAAUAAAUUUUUGAUAGAAAUGAA
rnacentral:rRNA from 1 species